rnacentral:rRNA from 1 species
AUUGAACGCUGGCGGCAUGCCUUACACAUGCAAGUCGAACGGCAGCGGACCUUCGGUGCCGGCGAGUGGCGAACGGGUGAGUAAUAUAUCGGAACGUACCUUUCAGUGGGGAGUAACGUAGCGAAAGUUAACGCUAAUACCGCAUAUUCUGUGAGCAGGAAAGACAGGGGAGUCGCAAGAACCUUGCGCUGAUUGAGCGGCCGAUAUCAGAUUAGCUAGUUGGUGAGGUAAAGGCUCACCAAGGCGACGAUCUGUAGCGGGUCGUGAGAGGAUGAUCCGCCACACUGGAACUGAGACACGGUCCANACUCCUACGGGAGGCAGCAGU